CAAAUUAUUAUUCAGCUAAUAAUGGAUGUGGCCUCCUCUCUCCCUCUUCUUCCAGCAAUCCCCUCAAUCCGCCGUCCCCAUUUCAACCCCAGGGUCUCCAUCAAAACCCUAGCUUCUUCAUCUUCUUCCUCUUCAUACAAAGGCCCAAAACCCCGGCGAGAUCUUGCGAGCGAUUGGGUCUCCGACAACGAUGGCCUCGUCCGCAGCCUCCCCAUUUACGUCGGCGGCCUCUCUCUCCUCUCCGUCCUCGUCAACCGAGCUUUCUCCGGCAUCGCCCCCGUCGCCGACGCCUCCAGUUCACAAUCGAGAGCAGACAUAUUAACUCUUGGUUUGGCUGUAACCAAUCUUCUUACUGGCCUUGUAUGGUUGUCGAUUCGACCAAAGGAUAUUUCUCCAGUGGUCCCUAAGGGCGUGGACUGUAGGCGGAUAGACUCGACUAUUUCUCAAGUUGCAGCUUGUGAAUUGCUAUGGGCAUGGGAAUCACUUUCAGCUGCAUCAUGUUGCAGGUCGUUAGUGAUUGUAUAUGGAGGCAACUGUCUUCUUCAAAUUGGUGUUGCAGCUGCUGUAGGUAGUGAUCCUGUGAUUAUUGAUGUUCCAAAGUUAAUGCAGGGUUCACUCUACAGAAAUGCAAUGAAAUCUGGAAAGCAAAGCUACUUGGCAAAUCUCUCUCUUUAUCCUGGAAAGUCCGAACUUCCUUUCUUGCCUAUUGACACACAGGCAGUCAUUUUGCAGCCAUUAAGUGAUAAAGGAAUAGCAAUCAUUGGCGGUGACACUAUUAGGGGUUUCAACAAUCUUGACCAGACAUGGAUCGCAUCGAUUGCGGAUAAGUUGGAUUCUACAUUGUCGAAGUCGUCAAGUAUCAAGACCUAACUAAUUUCGAACUUUCCUAUCAAAUUGUGUAGAUCAAAAUUCAACAAACUCUUGGAUGCCUUCUGUCGGGAGACCUACUCAUCUAUUGAAGAUUCAUUGGUUUCGCACUUUCCAAUUUCCUGAAAAUUUCUGGCAUAAGUGCUGACUUUGAAGUUUGCCUGUGAGUCCAUUCACAUGUAAUGACGAAGUUUUCUGUUCUGCAUAAUGGAUUAUACUACUGAAAAUAUAAUCAAGUUGAAGAGUGCUCUUUGCCUGCUUAAUUGUACUGUUAGUGUCGAAAAACAGUUGAUUUUGUGAUAUGAAAGAAGUUGCAAUCGUAUUUCUAAACUGAUUUGUAGUCGUAUUCAGAAAUUUGUUUAUGUUGCAGAGAAAAUAGAGAAAAAAUAAAAAUACCGAAGUUUUUUUUUGGGCAGAAUAGAUGCCUCCCUUCCCAUCCA